ACAAAUAUACAAGACAGAAUGCAGUUUACUGAUUUACACAGUAAGACACUGAGUAACAAGAAAUUAGGUUCAGAAGAUUGCUUGGCGAGCAUGGCAUCAAAACAAAGAGAACUGUUAUUCAAUUUAAAUGUUGAAUGGGAUUGGGAUAAGGUGGAAUCUAAAACACACAAGGCUGAUGGCUAUCUUGCCUAGAGCACCUAUGUCCACUGGAAAGUGGCUGUAGGAGAUGGUCUGCUACAGACUAGGCCUUCCCAGAAUGAAGCCAAAUUGGGGGGCUAGAGGUGGACAAAACUUUUGAGGAACAUUAAGGAACAAAACUUUUGAGGAAAUUUUUGUGAAACAUAAAGAAGUGUUAGGGAAUUCAAAACAAUUCCAAACAACAGAAAUUGUCUGCAUUAACCGUAUAAAAAUAGAGCCAGGCAUGGUGGCACAUGUCUGUAGCCCCAGCUACUUGGGAGGCUGAGACAGGAGGGUCAUCUGAGCCUGGGAGUUCAAGGCUGUGGUGCACUAUGGUGGCGCCUAUGCAUAGCCACUGGACUCCAGCCUGGGUAACAGAGUGAGAUCUAGGCUAAAAAAACAAACAAAAAACCCAACAGUAUAGAAAUACAUAUGAGGUCAUUUUAGAUAAAUAUUUAUGAACCUGAGGUCUUCAAAAAAGAAGGUAAAUAGAAGAUGAGGUUUCUUCCAUCAUAGGAAGUUGUAAUGAGUUUUACUCCAAAAUCGGAAGUGGAUGUCAAGUAAUGAAAUAUUACUUUUAGACUCUAUAUAAUUUAGUAAUGAUUAUGAUGUUCUUUCCAUUGUAGUUACACAUACAUGUAUGUCUUGUUUAAAAACCAAAUAAGGGCAAAAUCUCCAUCUAUUUAUCUUUGUAAUGAAAGCAUCGCAGUACCUGGCAAAGUGAUGAGCACACAGUAGGCAGUCUGUAAGUGAUGGUAACUCAACUCUAAUGUAAUAGAUUUUAAAUUAUAUGUGUGUUUCAUAUAUAAUAAUUUCAUUUGGGUUAAGAAAUACAGAAUCAUUUGGUAUUCUAUUAGCCUUCAGAAAUAAAUCUUACUUAAGAAACACAUUUGCAGAAAAAACAAAAAUCCCACCCUUACUCAUGAUUAUACAAUAUCUUGUAUAGUUUAGCUUUAAAGAUUAGCUUUAAAAACAAGAUUAGCUUUAAAAACAAGAUUAGCUUUAAAAACAAGAAAAAUUUGUUUCCUUCUUACCAGACACAGACAGACUUUUAAAAAUUUAAAUUAUACAAAACUAAGAAGUGAUCAAAUUAUUACAAAGAAUGGUCUAGAUGACUGGCACUUAUUGUAUUGCAAAUGUAUUCCUUUAAUGGAUUUAACACUGUUCUUUUUGUUUUAUUAAAGCCCUUUCUUUGGCCAGAAAAAGAACAGGAUACAAUUUGCAAGUCUAGAAUUCCUGGACUGAUAAAAACAACACAAGGUGCCCUUGAAUUUCCUGUUCACGUGUGUUUUCUCCAGACUGCUCUAUUCAUUAAUGGAGACACUACCAAUAGUUAAGUCCAACAUUCUUUUUUAUCAAGCCUGGGGAAAGGAGAUAACAAAUCUGGCACUCAGGCCAUUUAUAAAUAGAUGUGGUAUCUCCAACCAUUUACCAUCAAAUUUCUAAAGGAAGAAAAUAGAACUGCUUUACCUGGCUGUAAAACAAAUUAUUUAACUGGUGAUUUCACCUUAGUUUUCACAUACUGCAUUUCAGAGGAAGGAGUGUCCUUAAUGCUACUAUAUUGCCUUGUAGUAUAAAAAUUCGCCUAAAUUCAAUUCACUAGUUGCAAUCAUAAUGCCCUAGGCUACAAUAAGUCCUCAGAUUGUACACUGUAUAAACUGGGUCCCUAACGAAAGGGCAGCUACAGCUUCUUUCCUCUCUGAGGCACAGUCUAAAAUGCAAGAAAUUCAUAGGUGAAGUUUCAAAUCCCAGCAUUAACUUUCACUAAUUGUUUUAUUUUCAACCAACAUUUAUUGCAGAUAUAUACCAUGUUGACUGUAUGAAGUGCUGAGAAUAAGACUGAUAAAACACAGUUCCGGCCCUUAGGGAGUUCAUGAUCUUAUGGAGACACAAAGUAGGGAGAAAUCAGUGCUUCAAGAGGAAGGAUAAUCAAAGGUUUAAUACAGAAGCGUGGCCCUCUCCAUGUGGCGUAUGCCCUGAUCACUAGACCAGAGGAAUGCAUUUCAUAAACAGACACCCUUGUCUUUGCUCCUUCUGUGAAUCAUAAGGAAAAAAGUAUCAGAAUGCUUUCUACAUGAACAGGAAGACUAACCAACGUUGAAUGGCAGCCAGUCUUAUCUCCGUCCUUAUCA